UAUACAUGCAAGUCGAGCGGACAGAAGGGAGCUUGCUCCCGGAUGUUAGCGGCGGACGGGUGAGUAACACGUGGGUAACCUGCCUGUAAGACUGGGAUAACUCCGGGAAACCGGAGCUAAUACCGGAUAGUUCCUUGAACCGCAUGGUUCAAGGAUGAAAGACGGUUUCGGCUGUCACUUACAGAUGGACCCGCGGCGCAUUAGCUAGUUGGUGAGGUAACGGCUCACCAAGGCGACGAUGCGUAGCCGACCUGAGAGGGUGAUCGGCCACACUGGGACUGAGACACGGCCCAGACUCCUACGGGAGGCAGCAGUAGGGAAUCUUCCGCAAUGGACGAAAGUCUGACGGAGCAACGCCGCGUGAGUGAUGAAGGUUUUCGGAUCGUAAAGCUCUGUUGUUAGGGAAGAACAAGUGCAAGAGUAACUGCUUGCACCUUGACGGUACCUAACCAGAAAGCCACGGCUAACUACGUGCCAGCAGCCGCGGUAAUACGUAGGUGGCAAGCGUUGUCCGGAAUUAUUGGGCGUAAAGGGCUCGCAGGCGGUUUCUUAAGUCUGAUGUGAAAGCCCCCGGCUCAACCGGGGAGGGUCAUUGGAAACUGGGAAACUUGAGUGCAGAAGAGGAGAGUGGAAUUCCACGUGUAGCGGUGAAAUGCGUAGAGAUGUGGAGGAACACCAGUGGCGAAGGCGACUCUCUGGUCUGU
rnacentral:rRNA from 1 species